CGCAAUUUGCUUACACGUGAACAUCAAAUGCGUUUAUACUUGCUAAAAAAAAAUACAGAUGACAUAACGUGAAGAUGCUGUCUCACAGUUUAAGAUGUGAACAAACUGAAGACACCUCACUGACUCAGUGCUUUACCACAGACAAACACCACGGUACAAUUUCUGCCAAGACACAAUUAUCAAAAGGCCGAGUCUGCAGCGGGGAGUCGAGCCACCGAGCCCUUGGCACUUGCUUUGUGCCGUGCCAAUAAAAGCUGACACCCAGUAGACCAUUACUGGCAGCCAUGCAUGAGAUGGGAUGAGGCGCGCGAGGAGAGUGGACCGUUCAUUGUUUAUUUAUUUCAUUCUCACUGAGGAAGCUGAUGGGGGGGACUCCUCACUUGCAUAUUGGACAGCUCCCCUUCUGUCACCUGUUCUGGCACGCUGAAGCAGUCCAUGAAAUUAACACAACUCUUUUCUUUCCCAUAUAAUGAGGUUUUUUUUCUACUUCUCUAUAAUCUUGCAUCCAUUUGACUCUACUCUUUCUCUUCAGUAAUGGUCCCUGUAGAGUCAGACCCUCCUGUCCUAACCCCAUCACAUCAGCAGGUGUCCAGAAUCAGGAUUAUGCCUGAACCUGAGAAAAUAGUUUCUUUUUUUUUUUUUUUCAACAUUUUACUCUUUGUUACUUUCUGUUUUAGGAUGCAGUUAAACUGAAUGUAUCCUCCCUGAGUCAGUGUCUCAGUCCUGCUGCUCAUCACCGUACAGACGUGCAUUAUUUUCACUGAAAUGUGGUUUUCCCUCUGGUUUUGUGCGCAGGAGUGUAUAAGCCAACACUAUGCCACUGGCUCUGUGAGUCCAAACCCAUCAGAGAUAUUUUAGUUUCAGAUGCUUCCGUCAGUGUCAGAAUCCAACGAGACACUUGAACGUUAGAAAUUCAAAACUCCUUGAAAGUGACUUGAAACUGAGAUACACAACAUCAAAUGUAAAUUAGUAAACUGUCACCGCACUCUAAGCCUGUACUGUCUGCAAGACGUUCAUCUGGAUAGGCUGCAAUGCUCCCUCGCUUGUUCCAUCAUUCACACUGAUAGUAUUAAGACAGUGCGUUCAACUACACCACAGCAGCCGCCGUGUAUCACUUAUACAGACCCUUUUAAAGUGUUUAAUAACUACUUUCCAAUUUUCAUAUAAUGCUAAUCUAAGUGUCAGUGUCUUGCACAAUUGUGUGGUUGAAUCCAGAGAAUGAUGGGCCCCCAUAUAUUGUUGGAAAUUAUUAAAAGAAAUAUAAAUUGUGGAUUAAUAUUGAUGGAAAUUCUAAAUAAAUAAUGAGUUACACCUCUGGUUUGGAUAAAAUAACUCACCCCUCAUUUUCAAAUAUGUCCUGUCAUUAUUCUCUCAUAUGAAUAUCUGCUGGAGUGGAUCUUUGCUGUAAUUACUGUAUUUAAACUUAAAUCUUAUACUAUUAAGGCAGAGCUUUUCCCCUCCUGCACUGCAUAUAUUCACUGCAGCUGAAGUUGGGGGGGGGGUUUACACUCAGUUUCCCAGAAUAAGUGGUUAAUUCUCACAGUUUUCUCUGCUUCUGACUUUUUCUCCCAGUAUCCCACAGUCCUCAGGCCCCACAGAGUGGUCUUAUCUCAGGAGAGGCUGUGUGCUGGAUUGCUGAGUCACCUUUCAUGGGAGGCUGCCCUUAUCUCCUAAGAAGCACAACAUUCAGGCAGUUGGUUGCAAAAGGAGGAACUUUGGGCAGGAGCGCUGUGGCCUGCUGUGUCUUCAUGGCCAUAAUAUGGAUUGCAGCAAUGCUCGCUGACUUCCUCAAAGCCUCGCGACCAACACUGCUUCAUCUGUGAGGUCAGAUGCUAGAGUUUUCCUGACACUUGCAGGUACGAAAAAGCUGCAGGAUGGCCUACUUCUGAGGCCACACAGAGGGAAUGCCGGGACUGCAGUGUGACUCAGGGCUAUCAGCAAACACAGAGAUGUCCAAUCAUGACUCAGGUCUCCCAUGACCCAGAGAUACUGUUCCCCUUCGGUGACACAGCAGCUUCACUCACUGUGUUUCUAAGAGACAAAAUACUGUGAUGAUUGACAAUGAUUCAGUCAAGAUUUUGGAGAAGUUACUGCAAAAGUGGGAUCGAUACUCACCACUGGCUGCACUGCUGAUAAUGAUCCUAACGUCUGACUUAUACAAAGCAUGUAAAUUGUUAUUGGUCAGAAUUCUGCAAAGGGCUUCACAGGGUUUUAUAAAAGUGGUUAAUUCUGCAGCAUUUAAGAUUAUACCUCAUAUACAGGCUGCAAACCACAGCUACAAAUGAAGCUAAACAUAACCUUCUGCUCCCCCAGGUUAAUCCACAACCUGAAGCAAGCCAUGUUGCUGUAAUUAAUAUCAUUACCUGGCAAGUCUCAAAACAUCAUCAGGCAACGUAGCCGGUCGACUACCGAACAAUAGGCUCCGGCUGGUUCUUAUUUCAUGGAUCUUUAAGCAGUAUUCACUGUUUCACAUUUGGAAGCAUGAGCAGCAUGUAACCCUUAAUUGGUUUCAACACCUUAAUAAGUCAAAGACGUUCAAGACUGAUAAUCACAUUAAAUAGUCCAAUUUAUCUAAAAAGUCAAUUGCAAACUGAAAAACUCUCUUUCUUUAGGAAUGCAUUAUGCUGUGAGGAUGUCAGAGUAAAUUAAAUUCCCCUCUGCACACUAAAGCAUCAAUUUCCUUAUGGUAAUUAUCUGCUGGAAUAGACGUGUCACUAGAAGGAGUCAGGCAUGCUUGACAUUUAGCCUUUUUAUAGAGAGGCGAUGAGUAAAAAUUAAGAUGAGGAAAAGGAAAUUAAUCUCCAGCCCAGGCAGGCAUUGAGAGAUCCUAGAGGAUAGUGGCUGAAUCAAUCAUGAUGUUUGUGAGCCUGUUUUGAAAAGAAGCCAGUGAUGAGAUUCAGACCACAGGCUGGAAAAUCUGCAGAGGAGGGGGGCGUUUUUUAGCAAAUAGAGUUAUGAUUGCUGUGAGGAGGAUUGCUCAGUUUUAUUAGUCUUAAACACAACAAACAGCAUCUUAUAAUAUCCGUUUUAAAGCAACAUUUGGGGGAAUAUGUUUCCUUGCUGUCUUGCUGAGCGUUAGAUGAGAAGCUUGGUACCACUCUCACGUGUGUACGCUAAAUAUGAAGCUAUAGCCAGGAGGCCGUUAGCUUAGCAUUAAGACCGGGAAAAACUGGAAAUGGUUAGCUGAGCUUUAGAAGUGCUGGUUACCUGAUUCAUUCAAAAUUCAAAAUGUACAGUCUGUGAGUGUAUUAGACCAUUUUAAGUAAUUUUCCUUGUGAUCCAGCAGAUGGUGUAAAAUUUACUCUCAGCACGACCUAUUGCAUGCCUAUUGACAUAGUAAUUAACUAAACUAAUUAAUAAACUAACUAAUAAAUGAAAAUUGAAGAAGACACCAGCAAACAAAGUGCUGUGUGAUUAUCAGGACACCAGGCAGUGUAUGUUUCGGGUUCUUCACUGUAGAUGACAAUUACCAACAUUGACCCACUUUGUCUCAUGGUGAUAACAAAGCUGGGCACUCACCUGCCAGCUCGAGACCAGAGUGGCUGGAAUAUGCUAGAUGGGUUGUGUUUUAGUUAGUUAAUUAGUUUUAAUUAGUUCAAACAAAUUACACUCUAAUCCAAACUUGUUCAAACUUGACCUUUUGAAAACGUGACAGCCCUAUUUUGGUAAGAGGCCAGCUGGCUGUUUCCCUGCUUUCAGUCUUUAUGGUAAGCUAAGCUAACCAGCAGCUUGCUGUAGCUUCGUGUUUGGCGUGCAGACAUGAGUGGUAUCAAUCUUCUCAUCUUAACCUCAGCAAAAAAAAAAAAGCCAACAAGCUUGUUCCCCAACAC